CCUGGCGGCUCAGAGGUUAAAGCGUCUGCCUCCAAUGCAGGAGACCCAGGUUCAAUCCCUGGGUCAGGA
rnacentral:tRNA from 1 species